AAGCAGCACAGAAGAGCAAACCCCUUGAGAGAUGUCGGCCGACUCCCAGGCCUCCAGAACUUAGCUUGAUGGACUUUGACAGACAGGGAUUUGUUUCUUCGUGUUGUUUAGCUCAAACCAGAGCUAAACCUCCUCAUCGUCUCAAAUGACCUGAAAUGGUUUCCCAAGCAACCUGGGCAGACCCUGGGGAGUCCAGAAGGCAUUCAGGGGCCCUGGACCUCUGGGGCUGAAGAUCUGCCUGCCGCUGUCCUGGAGGUCACAGGUUCCAGAAGGGCAGCAGAUGCCUGAAGCCGCAGGGCUGCGGGAAACAUACCUCACUUGCCUGUGGUCCAGUUUGGAUAGUCCCAGCACAGCUUUACAGGAAUAGGCCCCAAACCGAACUUCCAAGGAGGAAGGAUCUGAUCGGCUCAGCUUGGAUGAGGAAGCGGAGGGAGAGUGGACUGGAAGGAACUUGACCCAGGAUGCUGAGCAAAAUUUGCCAUUCAGCUACAAGAAGUGCAGUUGGCAGACAGCCUUCAACUUCAGCAUCUUCAGAGUCUGCCUUGACUUUCAAGCUGAGGCCAUGGACUUCUCAGGAGCUCCUAGCCAAUGGCUGAGAACAACAAACACCCUCACAAACACACCCGGAAUAGUGUUUAGUCAAAUGUCUAAGCACUCCAUGGGCCAGUCAAGUUGACACACAAAACUUGCCACCCCAGCUUCCUACAGAAGCCAACUCCCUCAAGAAGAGAUGAAGAUUCGGCUCUAUGUUGGUGGCGUGGCGUUGUGUACCUAGAACAAUGGAUUACAGCUGGGAAACUGAGUUCCAAAGGCAGGAAGAGACUUGCCUGGGGAGGCUGCUCUGGUCCUCAGGCCCUGGUCUUCGUGUGGGUCCCCAGGCUGGAUUCCCAGAAGCAGACUCUUAGUGAAGGAAAUGUAUAGGGGAUGAGAAAGUGGGGCAGGGAAGGGAAGCAGAUCCGGCAAGGAUCCGAUAUCAAGCAAACUCCCACAGAGGGCAUGGCUGGCCAAUGGGAUGCUUCUCUCUCCAAAGGAGCAGGGAGAGCUGGAGAUACCCUCCUUGCAAACAGCAGCUUGAGGAUCCAGCGCCUGGUGCACAGGUCUGCAAAUCGCCUGGGGUGACUCUGAUGAACUUGAUUAGUAUUGGCUGAACUUGGGCCAGGGUACGGGAUGGGUUCAAGCCUGUUCUGUAUGUUUGUAAUUUGGGGACUCAGGUUGAAAGGGUAGUGUCCAUCUGGAGCAAACUCAUGGUGAAGAGCUGGAGUGCAAGAGAUAGGAGUGGAAAUGUGCAAUGCCUCUUCAGACCUUGGCUUGGAACUGGCACAGCAUCACUUCUACCCAUAUUCAACUGAGCAGAACGCAUGACACAGUCAAGUCCAACAUCAGUGGUGUGGGGUAGUCCUGUCUGCUCACAGUGAAUCGUGAUACAGGGAGACAAGGAAGAAUUGUGGACUAAUAAUUUAAUCUAUCACACAGGGGGUGUUUUUUCACAACCUGAUAUCCUGAUUCCAACCCUCUGAGUGGAAUUUUUUUUUUUAAUUUUUUAGAGACAAGGUCUUGCUCUGUCACCCAGGCUGGAGUACAGUAGUGUGAUCAUAGCUCACUGCAGCCUCAAACUCCUGGGCUCAAGUGAUCCUCCUGCUUUAGCCUCCUGAAUACAUGAGACUACAGGCAUGCGCCACCAUGCCCAGCUUAUUUUUAUUUGUAUUUUGUGUAGAGCUGUAGUCUUGCAAUGUUGUCCAGGCUGGUCUUGAGCUCCUGGUCUCAAGUGAUCCACCCGCCUUGGCCUCUCAGGCAUGAGCCCCCGUUCUCAGCUGGAAUAUCUGUAUUUUGAAGAAGCUGCCCUGGUGAUUCUGAUGUGCAUUCUCACGGGCUCCCUGGCUAAGCUGGCUUUCCUUCAGAUCUGGGGCUUCUGGUCUCGAGGUCACCUGUGUUUCCGGGCCAAAGAUGGUUGUUAACUUGUUCCUCGGAUUGUUCAGUUUCUCAUUCCUGUGCUUUGACCAAGAGGCCAAGUCCAUCCAUUUAAAGUCAUCUCCAAAGACCGGGCUUGGUUCCGGACAUGGCGGGACUGGCUCAGGCAGGAGGCUGACUCAGCCGUGAGAAACAUUAAUGCCUGCCCAUGGUCAUUCUCUUCCUUCGGAAUGCCAGGCUCCUGGGGAUUAGAUGCUGGACGUGGUGGCUCAUGCCCAUAAUCCCAAUGCUUUGGGAGGCUGAGGGUUGGUUUGAACAAAGAAGUGCUUUGAGAGUUCAGAUGUGGAGCCAGGAACCCUGCCUGCCAUGGGAUGCAGGGAGAGGGGGUGGCGAGCAGCCCACAGCGACCCCAAGAAGCUGCUCCAACCCCUGGGACUAUGGAGCUCUACAGCUGUAGAGACCACCAGGAAGUGGACUGCAGGCCCCUGGCCUCUCCAUUCAGAUUCUGCAAAGAGAUCCUGAUGGGUUGGGCCAAUGGGUCAGGCAUCCAGUCAGCUCUGGCUAAGGGGUGAAGGAGUCAGGUGUUACCAACGUGGUGGCAGGGGCCACCUUGAAGCUGUGUUCUGUGCCAUGGAAGAAGGAAGAGGAGGAGGAAGCUAAGCUGGAAGGGAAGUCUAGGCUCCUGGAGUCAGUAGUUGGAAUCUCAGAUGGGAAGAAACCUUAAAAGUCAUCUGGUCCAGUAUUUUCCAAAGCAUGUUCCAUGAACUUGUUUUCCAGAAAUGGUUUCCUGGUCUGGUGAGUGGGAGUUCGAUGAGAGUGGCAGUUGUCUAUUUUGUUCACCGAUGUAUCUUAGGUGACUAAAACAAUGGUUGUCACAUGGCUGGCCCUUCAUAUUUGUUUCCAGAUGGAAGACUCUCUUUCUAGUGGUGGAACAUUAGUUUUGCACUGUGUUGGGACAACCUGAUGUAGUGAAAACAAGCCUGGGCAAUGAAAUCAACAGAUUGGAGUUCAGUUCCUAAUUGGGUCAUGGAUGAACUUUGUGACCUUGGGCAA
ensembl:lncRNA novel transcript